rnacentral:rRNA from 1 species
AUUGAACGCUGGCGGCAGGCCUAACACAUGCAAGUCGAGCGAGCGGCGGACGGGUGAGUAAUGGAAGGGGACUGCCCGAUGGAGGGGGAUAACUACUGGAAACGGUAGCUAAUACCACGUACAAUCGGAUAACCCAUGUGGGAUUAGCUAGUGGGGUAGGUAAUGGCUAACCAAGGCGACGAUCCCUAGCUGGUCUGAGAGGUUGAUCAGCCACACGUGAACUGAGACACGGCCCAGACUCCUACGGAGGCAGCAGUGGGGAAUAUUGGACAAUGGGCGCAAGCCUGAUCCAGCCAUGCCGCGUGUAUGAAGAAGGCCCUAGGGUUGUAAAGUACUUUCAGUCGGGAGGCGUUACCGACAGAAGAAGCACCGGCUAACUACGUGCCAGCAGCCGCGGUAAUUC